GGGUUGUGAGGUUAAGCGACUAAGCGUACACGGUGGAUGCCCUGGCAGUCAGAGGCGAUGAAGGACGUGCUAAUCUGCGAUAAGCGUCGGUAAGGUGAUAUGAACCGUUAUAACCGGCGAUUUCCGAAUGGGGAAACCCAGUGUGUUUCGACACACUAUCAUUAACUGAAUCCAUAGGUUAAUGAGGCGAACCGGGGGAACUGAAACAUCUAAGUACCCCGAGGAAAAGAAAUCAACCGAGAUUCCCCCAGUAGCGGCGAGCGAACGGGGAGCAGCCCAGAGCCUGAAUCAGUGUGUGUGUUAGUGGAAGCGUCUGGAAAGGCGUGCGAUACAGGGUGACAGCCCCGUACACAAAAAUGCACAUAUUGUGAGCUCGAUGAGUAGGGCGGGACACGUGGUAUCCUGUCUGAAUAUGGGGGGACCAUCCUCCAAGGCUAAAUACUCCUGACUGACCGAUAGUGAACCAGUACCGUGAGGGAAAGGCGAAAAGAACCCCGGCGAGGGGAGUGAAAAAGAACCUGAAACCGUGUACGUACAAGCAGUGGGAGCACGCUUAGGCGUGUGACUGCGUACCUUUUGUAUAAUGGGUCAGCGACUUAUAUUCUGUAGCAAGGUUAACCGAAUAGGGGAGCCGAAGGGAAACCGAGUCUUAACUGGGCGUUAAGUUGCAGGGUAUAGACCCGAAACCCGGUGAUCUAGCCAUGGGCAGGUUGAAGGUUGGGUAACACUAACUGGAGGACCGAACCGACUAAUGUUGAAAAAUUAGCGGAUGACUUGUGGCUGGGGGUGAAAGGCCAAUCAAACCGGGAGAUAGCUGGUUCUCCCCGAAAGCUAUUUAGGUAGCGCCUCGUGAAUUCAUCUCCGGGGGUAGAGCACUGUUUCGGCAAGGGGGUCAUCCCGACUUACCAACCCGAUGCAAACUGCGAAUACCGGAGAAUGUUAUCACGGGAGACACACGGCGGGUGCUAACGUCCGUCGUGAAGAGGGAAACAACCCAGACCGCCAGCUAAGGUCCCAAAGUCAUGGUUAAGUGGGAAACGAUGUGGGAAGGCCCAGACAGCCAGGAUGUUGGCUUAGAAGCAGCCAUCAUUUAAAGAAAGCGUAAUAGCUCACUGGUCGAGUCGGCCUGCGCGGAAGAUGUAACGGGGCUAAACCAUGCACCGAAGCUGCGGCAGCGACACUAUGUGUUGUUGGGUAGGGGAGCGUUCUGUAAGCCUGUGAAGGUGUGCUGUGAGGCAUGCUGGAGGUAUCAGAAGUGCGAAUGCUGACAUAAGUAACGAUAAAGCGGGUGAAAAGCCCGCUCGCCGGAAGACCAAGGGUUCCUGUCCAACGUUAAUCGGGGCAGGGUGAGUCGACCCCUAAGGCGAGGCCGAAAGGCGUAGUCGAUGGGAAACAGGUUAAUAUUCCUGUACUUGGUGUUACUGCGAAGGGGGGGACGGAGAAGGCUAUGUUGGCCGGGCGACGGUUGUCCCGGUUUAAGCGUGUAGGCUGGUUUUCCAGGCAAAUCCGGAAAAUCAAGGCUGAGGCGUGAUGACGAGGCACUACGGUGCUGAAGCAACAAAUGCCCUGCUUCCAGGAAAAGCCUCUAAGCAUCAGGUAACAUCAAAUCGUACCCCAAACCGACACAGGUGGUCAGGUAGAGAAUACCAAGGCGCUUGAGAGAACUCGGGUGAAGGAACUAGGCAAAAUGGUGCCGUAACUUCGGGAGAAGGCACGCUGAUAUGUAGGUGAAGCGACUUGCUCGUGGAGCUGAAAUCAGUCGAAGAUACCAGCUGGCUGCAACUGUUUAUUAAAAACACAGCACUGUGCAAACACGAAAGUGGACGUAUACGGUGUGACGCCUGCCCGGUGCCGGAAGGUUAAUUGAUGGGGUUAGCCGCAAGGCGAAGCUCUUGAUCGAAGCCCCGGUAAACGGCGGCCGUAACUAUAACGGUCCUAAGGUAGCGAAAUUCCUUGUCGGGUAAGUUCCGACCUGCACGAAUGGCGUAAUGAUGGCCAGGCUGUCUCCACCCGAGACUCAGUGAAAUUGAACUCGCUGUGAAGAUGCAGUGUACCCGCGGCAAGACGGAAAGACCCCGUGAACCUUUACUAUAGCUUGACACUGAACAUUGAGCCUUGAUGUGUAGGAUAGGUGGGAGGCUUUGAAGUGUGGACGCCAGUCUGCAUGGAGCCGACCUUGAAAUACCACCCUUUAAUGUUUGAUGUUCUAACGUUGACCCGUAAUCCGGGUUGCGGACAGUGUCUGGUGGGUAGUUUGACUGGGGCGGUCUCCUCCUAAAGAGUAACGGAGGAGCACGAAGGUUGGCUAAUCCUGGUCGGACAUCAGGAGGUUAGUGCAAUGGCAUAAGCCAGCUUGACUGCGAGCGUGACGGCGCGAGCAGGUGCGAAAGCAGGUCAUAGUGAUCCGGUGGUUCUGAAUGGAAGGGCCAUCGCUCAACGGAUAAAAGGUACUCCGGGGAUAACAGGCUGAUACCGCCCAAGAGUUCAUAUCGACGGCGGUGUUUGGCACCUCGAUGUCGGCUCAUCACAUCCUGGGGCUGAAGUAGGUCCCAAGGGUAUGGCUGUUCGCCAUUUAAAGUGGUACGCGAGCUGGGUUUAGAACGUCGUGAGACAGUUCGGUCCCUAUCUGCCGUGGGCGCUGGAGAACUGAGGGGGGCUGCUCCUAGUACGAGAGGACCGGAGUGGACGCAUCACUGGUGUUCGGGUUGUCAUGCCAAUGGCACUGCCCGGUAGCUAAAUGCGGAAGAGAUAAGUGCUGAAAGCAUCUAAGCACGAAACUUGCCCCGAGAUGAGUUCUCCCUGACUCCUUGAGAGUCCUGAAGGAACGUUGAAGACGACGACGUUGAUAGGCCGGGUGUGUAAGCGCAGCGAUGCGUUGAGCUAACCGGUACUAAUGAACCGUGAGGCUUAACCUUACAACGCCGAAG
rnacentral:rRNA from 1 species